AGAACGAACGCUGGCGGCGUGGAUAAGACAUGCAAGUCGAACGCGACUUAUUGAGUUAGCAAUAACCUGAUAAGUUGAGUGGCGAAAGGGUGCGUAACACGUGGGAAUUUACCAAGAAGUGGGGAAUAGCUCGACGAAAGUCGAAUUAAUACCGCAUAUGAUCGCAAGAUCAAAGCCGGGGACCGCAAGGCCUGGCGCUUUUUGAGAAGCCCGCGGCCCAUCAGCUAGUUGGCGGGUAAAAGCCACCAAGGCUAUGACGGGUAGCUGGUCUGAGAGGACGACCAGCCACACUGGAACUGAGACACGGUCCAGACACCUACGGGUGGCAGCAGUCGAGAAUUUUUCACAAUGGAC
rnacentral:rRNA from 1 species